rnacentral:rRNA from 1 species
AUUGAACGCUGGCGGCAUGCCUAACACAUGCAAGUCGAACGCCCUCUUCGGAGGGAGUGGCGCACGGGUGCGUAACGCGUGGGAACCUGCCCUUAGGUUCGGAAUAACUCAGAGAAAUUUGAGCUAAUACCGGAUAAUGUCUUCGGACCAAAGAUUUAUCGCCUUUGGAUGGGCCCGCGUUGGAUUAGCUAGUUGGUGGGGUAAAGGCCUACCAAGGCGACGAUCCAUAGCUGGUCUGAGAGGAUGAUCAGCCACACUGGGACUGAGACACGGCCCAGACUCCUACGGGAGGCAGCAGUGGGGAAUAUUGGACAAUGGGCGAAAGCCUGAUCCAGCAAUGCCGCGUGAGUGAUGAAGGCCUUAGGGUUGUAAAGCUCUUUUACUGGGGAUGAUAAUGACAGUACCCAGAGAAUAAGCUCCGGCUAACUCCGUGCCAGCAGCCGCGGUAAU